AGUGAACGCUGGCGGUAGGCCUAACACAUGCAAGUCGAACGGCAGCACAGUAAGAGCUUGCUCUUACGGGUGGCGAGUGGCGGACGGGUGAGGAAUACAUCGGAAUCUACUUUUUCGUGGGGGAUAACGUAGGGAAACUUACGCUAAUACCGCAUACGACCUACGGGUGAAAGCAGGGGACCUUCGGACCUUGCGCGAUUGAAUGAGCCGAUGUCGGAUUAGCUAGUUGGCGGGGUAAAGGCCCACCAAGGCGACGAUCCGUAGCUGGUCUGAGAGGAUGAUCAGCCACACUGGAACUGAGACACGGUCCAGACUCCUACGGGAGGCAGCAGUGGGGAAUAUUGGACAAUGGGCGCAAGCCUGAUCCAGCCAUACCGCGUGGGUGAAGAAGGCCUUCGGGUUGUAAAGCCCUUUUGUUGGGAAAGAAAAGCAGCAGGUUAAUACCCCGCUGUUCCGACGGUACCCAAAGAAUAAGCACCGGCUAACUUCGUG
rnacentral:rRNA from 1 species